UGGAAACCUGCAUUUAAUACUACACCUGUUACUAUAAGAGUGUUGCAUGGCUGUCUCAUGCAAAACCAUGUCUGCUUCCUGCUCUCUUGUUGACGCAUCAAACAUAAAGGCGGUAUCCAGGGUCUCCUUCCAGCUAAGGUAGAAGUGUUUCUCCUCAGUGCACCAUACACAUAUUAGGUAUGCCUGUACUCUCUAAGCUGCAGUGGGGGGUCAGCAGGAGGAUCUCGAUUUAUCUUUACUGAUUUGAGUGUGGGAUGGGCUGUUGGUGCGAGAGUAAACCCUGCUUUUGUGCUCAGCCAAAAGCAGUCUCAACAAGGUUAUUCCCAUCGCUGAUGCCCAGCCCAAUCUCAAUUCUCUUCUUUAGCCCUACCCCUCAUUUGUCAGUGGCCCACGCUUUUGAGCAGCCCCAAAUUGCCCCUCGAAAUAUAUAAUAUGUCCAUGCUCGAAACAGAGGGUCAAGGGGAAUUCUUCCCCACAUAAGGUACAACCCUUCAAGACCCAGUUACGUCAUUAGUAGUCGUCUAUGGCGUUUACUGAAAUAGGCGCGACGAGUUUGUUGCUGGUUGUUCUGAGUUUCACAAUACCGGCUUCAGCUGUGGUGAUUAUUCUUGUACCACAGCUGUCCAUCGUACUGCAAGCUAAAGCUGCGGCUGUGGCUUGUAGGACAUGGACAUCCAACGACCAAGUGCUGUCACGUGAUUCCACUUGCCACCCCCACUGACGUCACUGGCUAAUCGCGCGGGAGAGCUUCAUUCUCUUCUCGACUACUUCACCAAGAUGACAACGAUGGCAAGUAACUAAAAUUAAUGACUGAAACAACCUAAUUGUGAUUGCAAAAACAUGCGUUUGUGAAAUGUGUUUUUGAUGGGUCCACUCCUUAAGCUAACGUAUUUAUCCACGAUAGCAGACACUUUAAAUAAUAGUUAUAAUUACAUGCAACUUAUUUAUCUCAACGAAAUUUCAAAUAGUAUACUAGAUACAUACAAAUAUAUAGAAAGGAAAAUAUACGAAAAUGAAAUGGCUAAAGUUAAUGCAAAAUGAUGAUGUAGUCGAGUACAAACUGUCUACUCUCAUUGCAGUCUUUGGAAGUUAAUUCUGACUGAUAUGUUAUCUUCCACAGCAUGACAUAACACAUCUCAGGAAGUGGUAGUGCUCCACUUUGUUGGAGAAUCUCCAUACUGAAGGGUAUAGUUCUUCUGAAGCAGAUGUGCUGUGAAUUCCA
rnacentral:lncRNA from 1 species